rnacentral:lncRNA from 1 species
CUCACUUUUGUUCGUACGCUUGACCUGUCCAGUAAUAACUUCUACGGCCAGAUGCCUGAUCUCAGCAAUCUCCAGAAGAUGCAAGUCCUUAAUCUAAGCUACAAUUCAUUACAUGGAGUUAUUCCAGACACGCUCAGUAAUUGUUCCAACCUGAAGGAAUUGCAUCUCUAUCAUAACUCCCUGACCAGUAAUAUUCCUCCGCAAAUAGGUCUCCUUGCCAACCUAGUUUAUAUGGCCAUUUCCAAUAAUAAUCUCUCCGGCACAAUCACGCCAACCCUCGGUAACAUGACCUCUCUGGCAACACUCUUUCUUACAACGAAUCAUCUUGAAGGAAGCGUCCCUGAUGAAAUUGGACAACUUCCCAAUAUCAGCAUCCUGAGCCUAGGAGAAAACAUGUUGUCAGGUAGUAUACCAGCGAGCCUUUUAAAUUCUUCUAUUGCAGCAAUAGAAUUACGCGCAAACCUUCUAAACGGGACUCUCCCUACAAACAUGGGUGACAAUCUCCCCAAUCUCCAAUCUCUCUUCUUGGGCCAUAACAUGCUCGAGGGUCACAUCCCAGUUUCCUUGGGCAAUGCUUCAAUGCUAAAAAGUGUAAUUCUACAACAUAACAAUUUCACUGGCCAGAUUCCUACUACCUUUGGAAAGCUUUCUGGACUGUCUAGAUUAGACUUUCAGGCAAACAAGCUUGAAGCUAUAGAUUCUGAAGGCUGGGAAUUCCUGAACGCGUUAAGAAACUGCAGUGUUCUAGAAGCGCUCGAAUUAGCCGGCAAUCAACUACAGGGAACAAUACCAAAUUCAGUCUGUAGCCUACAAAAAACUCUUCGAUAUCUCGUAUUGGGUGGAAACCAACUAUCUGGUACAGUUCCCUCGUGCAUAGGGAACCUUUCUGGGUUAAUUCAACUGACAUUAGACGAUAACAAUCUCACAGGUAACAUCGGCCAAUGGAUUGGGAAUUUUAAAUACUUGCAAUCCUUAUAUCUUAGAAAUAACAAGUUCACAGGGCACAUUCCAUUCUCUAUUGGUAAUCUUACACAGCUGACAGAGCUCUAUCUGGAAAACAAUGCAUUUGAUGGUCACAUACCACCCUCCAUUGGAAACUCUCCGCUACUGUUAAAGAUUGAUCUUAGCUUCAACCGUAUUCAAGGUACCAUACCUCUAGAGAUUGGUAACCUUGGACAACUCAUCUAUCUACAACUUACAUUAAAAAAGCUUACUGGGAAAAUACCUUAUGUUUUGGACCAGUGCCAAAACUUAGUGACCAUCCAAUUGGACCAAAACUUUCUCACAGGAGUCAUUCCAGUUUCUAUUGCUAACCUAAAAGGCUUGAGCGUACUAAAUCUUUCCCAUAACAUCUUAUCAGGCGCCAUCUCGGUAGUGCUAGGUGAUCUACCUCUACUCAGCAAGCUGGACCUUUCUUACAAUAAUCUUCAAGGAGAAAUACCACGGAAUGGAUUAUUCGGAAAUGCUACAUCUGUUUAUCUUGAAGGCAGUUGGGGACUAUGCGGAGGAGUGAUAGAUCUCCAUAUGCAAUUGUGCCCCCAAGUUUCUCACAAAAUGGAAAGGAAGAAAAAUUUGGCUAGAUUGUUGAUUCCAAUAUUUGGUUUCCUGUCACUGACAGUGCUGAUAUACCUUAUAUACCUUGUGAAGAAGACAUCAAGAAGACCAUACCUUUCGUUGCUUUCUUUUGGAAAGCAGUUUCCUAGGGUUUCUUACAAGGAUCUAGCCCAAGCUACACGGAACUUCUCACAGUCAAACAUAAUUGGAAAAGGGAGCUACGGUUCAGUAUAUAGAGCGAAGUUAACUCUGGCUAAAAUCCAAGUUGCUAUCAAGGUUUUUGACCUCCAGGUUAAAUCUGCAGACAGAAGUUUCAUAUCAGAAUGUGAGAUCUUGAGAAGCAUUCGACAUCGAAACCUUCUUCCUAUCCUAACUGCAUGUUCAACGAUAGACCAUAAUGGAAAUGAUUUCAAAGCUCUGAUUUAUGAAUACAUGCCUAAUGGGUGUUUGGAUAUGUGGUUGCAUAAAAAUGUCGCAGUGUUGCUUCAAAAUAUUUGAGUUUAGCUCAAAGAGUAAGUAUAGCAGUUGAUGUUGCUAAUGCAUUGUCGUAUUUACACCACGAAUGCGAAAGGUCUAUUGUCCAUUGUGAUUUGAAGCCAACUAAUAUCCUUCUUGACGAUGAUAUGAAUGCAUAUUUGGGAGAUUUUGGCAUUUCAAGCCUCAUUCUUGAGUCUAGAUUCACCUCACAUGGACAUCCGUGUCCAAAUAGCUCAAUUGGAUUGAAGGGAACCAUAGGGUAUAUAGCUCCAGGUAUAUAUGCUUCUGGUCACAUCUUCAAUUCAUGAAAGUGCUUUCUGCAUUAAUACUUAGACAUUACAGUAUAUUGUAUUGAUUAGUGCGAUUUUAUCUUUUCUUUUAGACUAUACGCAAUGUGGCCGUGCAUCAACCUGUGGGGAUGUUUAUAGCUUUGGAAUAGUACUUCUAGAGAUGUUGAUAGGUAAAAGACCAACAGACCCUAUGUUUGAGAAUGAGCUCAACAUUGUUAACUUUGUGGAGAAGAACUUCCCAAAGCAGAUACCACAGAUAAUUGAUGCUCGACUCCAAGAAGAAUGCAAGGGCUUGAAUCAAGCAAUCACUGAGCAAGGAGAUUGUUUCUAUGUUUGCCUGCUGUCUGUAGCGGAGGUGGCUCUUUCUUGCACUCAUCUGAUCCCAAAAGAACGAAUGACCAUUAGAGAAAUAGCUAUCAAAUUGCAUGCAAUUAGAACGUCCUAUGCUGAAGCGAUCAAGCGGGAGCAUUUGCUUCGCAGGAGAGAGUCACAUUUAUGUGUCAUGGAAGUUGUGUAAUUGACUUUUCUCAGGCUUCGAAAGGCGAUGUGCAUAAAAAAUGUAAACUGUCCAUCAGUAUACGCUUAUGUGAGGAAUUACUACGUACAUGCUUUCUGUACAUGAUGGCUCUCUGCCUGUUUGUGCCUCUUUAAUGGAUGAUGGUGCGCACUAACAUAAUAUUUUUGGUGAAUGGUUUUUACAGUUUGUCUGAUUGGGAUUGUGAACGAUCUAAUCUAGGUGAUUAUGUUAAGCACAUAAACCAUAAUCUACACAUCUGAUGUCAGAUUUCAAAGAACAACACUGCGAAUCCACACUAUCACAACCUAAGUUGGGUCGGCCCCUAAAUCCAAAUCCCAACCUGCAGUUAGCAAUCACAAGAGGAGCACAUGAGAUUAGGAAACCCUCGGAGAUCAUACCUAUAACCACGAUGUUCGCUCACUCAUCGAGUGCCGGCCCGCCUCCUCGCUCCGCCCCUCCGACGUCGUGCGCCGCCGCGGCGCCUGCGCGUGGAGUGGUCCGAGUGGACGGACAGCCGCAACCUCGCGGUGAGAUGGAAGCGAAAC